rnacentral:misc_RNA from 1 species
GAUGAAGAACGUAGCUAAAUGCGAUAAGUAAUGUGAAUUGCAGAAUUCAGUGAAUCAUCGAAUCUUUGAACGCACCUUGCACCCUUUGGCAUUCUGAAGGGUAUGCUCGUUUGAGUGUCAUUGUACUCUCACACUCCCGAUCUUUGCAUUGGGAGCAGUGGACUUGGGUUUGCUGCUUCACCGUCGCUUACCUCAAAUAGGUUAGUGCAACUCUUGGUUGGACAUAGUACGGCGUGAUAAGUGUUCUUCGCCGGUGCCUCGCAAAGAGGGUGGCCGAUCGGGAUGUUGUGCUCCAAACCGUCUUCGGACAAUCUCUGACGACUUGACCUCAAAUCGAGUAAGACUACCCGCUGAACUUAAGCAUAUCAAUAAGCGGAGGA